CUACGGGAGGCAGCAGGGGGGAAUCUUGCACAAUGGAGGAAACUCUUGAUGCAGCGAUGCCGCGUGAGUGAAGAAGGCUUUGGGUUGUAAAGCUCUUUCGUCGGGGAAGAAGAAUGACUGUACCCGAAUAAGGAAGGCCGGUAAUUUCGUGCCAGCAGCCGCGG
rnacentral:rRNA from 1 species